rnacentral:rRNA from 1 species
AUUGAACGCUGGCGGCAGGCCUAACACAUGCAAGUCGAACGGUAACAGGAAGCAGCUUGCCGCUUUGCUGACGCGUGGCGGACGGGUGUGACAUGUCUGUGACACUGCUUGAUGGAGGGGGAUAACUCCUGGAAACGGUAGCUAAUACCGCAUAUCUUCUCAACACCAAAGAGGGAGACCUUCGGGCCUCUUUCCAUCGGCUUUGCCCAGAUGGGAUUAGCUAGUAGGUGGGGUAACGGCUCACCUAGGCGACGAUCCCUAGCUGGUCUGAGAGGUUGACCAGCCACACUGGAACUGAGACACGGUCCAGACUCCUACGGGAGGCAGCAGUGGGGAAUAUUGCGCAAUGGGCGCAAGCCUGAUGGAGCAAUGCCGCGUGUAUGAAGAAGGCCUUCGGGUUGUAAAGUUCUUUUAGCGGGGAGGAAGAGAGUAAAGUGAAUACCUGCACUUAUUGACGGUACCCGCAGAGGAAGCACCGGCUAACUCCGUG